GUCCGGGUAGCUCAGUUGGUAGAGCAUCAGACUCUUAAUCUGAGGGCCCAGAAUUCAAGUCCCUGUUUCGGCA